UUGUGGAGGAGGACGCCGAAGGUGGGGCUAAUGACUGGGGUGAAGUCGUAACAAGGUAGCCGUACCGGAAGGUGCGGCUGGAUCACCUCCUAACAGGGAGACAACAAAAUGUUUAAUAUUAUUAUUUUGUCACCUUAGGUCGAUCGGUAUCUCACGUUUUUAAUUUAUUAAGAAUUUCAUUUCCUAAGUUUUUCUAGGUCACACCCAUUUUUUUUCCUGGGCCAUUAGCUCAGGUGGUUAGAGCGCACCCCUGAUAAGGGUGAGGUCCCUGGUUCAAGUCCAGGAUGGCCCAUAUCUCUAUGUUGGGGGUAUAGCUCAGUUGGUAGAGCGCCUGCUUUGCAAGCAGGAUGUCAGCGGUUCGAGUCCGCUUACCUCCACUGAUUACCACCUCUUCCAUAAUCUGUAGAAAGGAAAAAUUUUUGAGUUGUGAUCAAAUUUCUGAACGAAUCUAGCUUCCUAAUGAAACCAUUAAGAUGCUGGACUCAUUGAAUUAAUUUCAUUGUUUUCAGAGAACCUUGACAACUGCAUAGAUUAUUUUUAAAGACAAUAAGCAUCUUUAAUGAUGCAGAUUUAUUAUUUGUGCGAAUGCAUUAAUAACAAUUCUAUUAAGCUGAUGCUUCAAUUUUGAAGUUAUUGGUCAAGCUACAA
rnacentral:misc_RNA from 1 species